UAGAUAUUUGACCUUCGAGACCUACGGU
rnacentral:sRNA from 1 species